ACUCCUACGGGAGGCAGCAGUGGGGAAUAUUGCACAAUGGGCGCAAGCCUGAUGCAGCCAUGCCGCGUGUAUGAAGAAGGCCUUCGGGUUGUAAAGUACUUUCAGCAGUGAGGAAGGCGGGUACGGUUAAUAGCGUGCUUGUUUGACGUUAGCUGCAGAAGAAGCACCGGCUAACUCCGUGCCAGCAGCCGCGGUAAUACGGAGGGUGCGAGCGUUAAUCGGAAUUACUGGGCGUAAAGCGCAUGCAGGUGGUUUGUUAAGUCAGAUGUGAAAGCCCGGGGCUCAACCUCGGAAUUGCAUUUGAAACUGGCAGACUAGAGUACUGUAGAGGGGGGUAGAAUUUCAGGUGUAGCGGUGAAAUGCGUAGAGAUCUGAAGGAAUACCGGUGGCGAAGGCGGCCCCCUGGACAGAUACUGACACUCAGAUGCGAAAGCGUGGGGAGCAAACAGGAUUAGAUACCCUGGUAGGAUAGCG
rnacentral:rRNA from 1 species